rnacentral:piRNA from 1 species
UCCAAAUAUGUACAGCUGUGUCACCUGC